rnacentral:lncRNA from 1 species
UGUGAGGUGUCCCCAGCCCCAUGGAAAUGUUCAUAGGUGGAAGGGACUUGCCUUGUCUCAGAUGAGACUUUGGACUGUGGAUUUCUAAGUUAAUGCUGAAAUGAGUUAAGACUUUUGGGGACUGCUGGGAAGUCUCAGGUAUGUCUUUAUCAGCAGCAUGAAAACGGACUAAUAUAGCACCUCUGCUGACAGCUAUAGGACCAAGGACUGUAGACCCAAAUGCAGCAGCCACACGUAUUUUCCUGUCAUGAAGAUUUUCUUUAAUAAAGCUGCAAGUUUUGGGGAAAGUAUGUGUGAUGACUGGGAACUGAUUCCCGAAGGCUAGCUGCAAACCACGACUGGGAAAGAAGCAGGAUGGGCCCAGACUUUGCGGUGGCUGCUGUCCACCAGAACAUUCAGGUUCAGAAGGGUCGUGGGGGUCCCCGAGCCUGCUGAAAGAUGAGGCCCAGUCCUGGCUCCACUCAACUUACCGCACCCAUGCUUCAUUGCUCCUCAAAGCACUCACGACUCUGAUAUUUUGCUUCUAUAUUUGCUUCUUAUUUGUCUCCCAUCACUAGGAUGAAAUCUUCCAGAGAGCAAUGGUUUUCUCUGUCUUAUUCACUGUUGUAAAUAGUGCCUGGCACA